AAUGAACGUUGGCGGCGUGGAUUAGGCAUGCAAGUCGUGCGAGAAUCGUAGCAAUACGAGGACAGCGGCGAAAGGGAGAGGAACACGUGGAUACCUACCCUCGGGAUCGGGAUAGCUGCGGGAAACUGCAGGUAAUACCGAAUAACAUCUUCGGAUCAAAGGUGUGAUUCCGCCCGGGGACGGGUCCGCGUCCUAUUAGCUAGUUGGUGGGGUAACGGCCUACCAAGGCAAAGAUGGGUACGGGGUGUGAGAGCAUGCCCCCGCUCACUGGGACUGAGAUACUGACCAGACACCUACGGGUGGCUGCAGUCGAGAAUCUUCGGCAAUGGGCGCAAGCCUGACCGAGCGACGCCGCGUACGGGAUGAAGGCCUUCGGGUUGUAAACCGUUGUCAGUGGGGAGGAAAUGUCGGUGGGUUCUCCCAUCGAUUUGACCUAUCCGCAGAGGAAGGACGGGCUAAGUUCGUGCCAGCCGCCGCAGUAAUAC
rnacentral:rRNA from 1 species